rnacentral:misc_RNA from 1 species
UGGUUCUGGCAUCGAUGAAGAACGCAGCGAAAUGCGAUAAGUAAUGCGAAUUGCAGAGCAGUGAGUCAUCGAAUCUUUGAACGCACAUUGCGCCCUUUGGCAUUCCGAAGGGCAUGCCUGUUCGAGCGUCAUUAUCAACCUCAAGCCUGGCUUGGAAUUGGAUCUCAUUGCUAGAGAUGGGUCCCAAAGAUAACGACAGAGUCUGUUUGACCUUGGAUGCAAUGAGCUUUGACUAGCACGCAUCAGAGGAAUCACAGGCCUGGUCUUCAAUCAUUUAUUUUAUGGUUGACCUCGGAUCAGGUAGGAAUACCCGCUGA